rnacentral:rRNA from 1 species
UACGUAGGGUGCAAGCGUUGUCCGGAAUUAUUGGGCGUAAAGGGCUCGUAGGCGGUCUGUCGCGUCGGGAGUGAAAACUCAGGGCUUAACCCUGAGCCUGCUCCGAUACGGGCAGACGUAGAGGUAUGCAGGGGAGAACGGAAUUCCUGGUGUAGCGGUGGAAUGCGCAGAUAUCAGGAGGAACACCGGUGGCGAAGGCGGUUCUCUGGGCAUUACCUGACGCUGAGGAGCGAAAGUGUGGGGAGCGAACAGG